ACAUCGUUGACUAGUAUGAUUCUCGCUUAGGGUGCGAGAGGUCCCAGGUUCGAUCCCUGGAUUGCGCC